GAGAGGAGAAGAAUCCGGACCACCGGCUAAGGUCCCGAAAUAAUGGCCGAGUUAGUCAAACGAAGUAGGAUUGCCGUGACAGCUAGGAUGUUGGCUUGGAAGCAGCCAUCCAUUUAAAGAGUGCGUAACAGCUCACUAGUCGAGGAAUCCUGCGUGGAUAAUAAUCGGGUAUAAGCCAUUUACCGAAGCCGUGGGAACCGCAAGGUUCGGUAGGGGAGCAUUCCAUGUCCGCCGAAGGCGCGGCGCGAGCCGUACUGGAGGACAUGGAAAAGCAAAUGUAGGUAUAAGUAACGAUAAAGGGGGCGGGAAACCCCCUCGCCGAAAGACUAAGGUUUCCUGAUCAACGCUAAUCGGAUCAGGGUAAGUCGGGGCCUAAGGCUCAGCCGAAGGGCGAGGCCGAUGGAUGAAACGUUUAAUAUUCCGUUACUGCCGCAUCCCGUGACGUGGUGACGGAGCAGUGAAAGUGCCGCCGUCUGACGGAAAAGACGGUUGAAGGGUGUAGAUGCCGACUGCCGCAGGCAAAUCCACGGCAGGAGUCGAACCUGAAAGUAUGGCGCGUCCUUCGGGACAAGCCAAUAGCGCACGUAAUCAUACUCCCAAGAAAACCCGCUAAACAAAAAGGAUGUGGCACCCGUACCGUAAACGGACACACGUGGUCGGGUAGAAUAUACCAAGGCGCUUGAGUGAAUCACGGUUAAGGAACUAGGCAAAUUGUCCCUGUAACUUCGGGAAAAAGGGUCCUCAUGAAGAUGAGGCGCAGUGAAUAGGUCCAGGCAACUGUUUACCAAAAACACAGGGCUGUGCGAAUAUGAAAGAUAGAAGUAUACAGCCUGACACCUGCCCGGUGCCGGAAGGUUAAGAGGAGAGGUCAUCGCAAGAGAAGCCUUGAAUUGAAGCCCCGGUAAACGGCGGCCGUAACUAUAACGGUCCUAAGGUAGCGAAAUUCCUUGUCGGGUAAGUUCCGACCUGCACGAAUGGUGUAAUGAUCUGGACACUGUCUCAACCGUGAGCUCAGUGAAAUUGUAGUAUCGGUGAAGAUGCCGAUUCCCCGCGAUGGGACGAAAAGACCCCGUGAACCUUUACUAUAGCUUAGCAUUGGAGACGGGCACGUGAUGUGUAGGAUAGGUCGGAGGCUGUGAAGUGCGUACGCCAGUACGCGUGGAGCCGCUGUUGAAAUACGACCCUUUGUCUGUCUCAGGUCUAACCCGCGUGGCGCGGGGACAUUGCUUGGCGGGUAGUUUGACUGGGGUGGUCGCCUCCAAAAGCGUAACGG
rnacentral:rRNA from 1 species